UCUGUAGCUCAGUGGAUAGAGUCCUGGUUUCCGAAACCAGUGGUCGCAGGUUCGAAUCCUGUCAGA
rnacentral:tRNA from 1 species